GUAACGAGGAGUGUUCUCUGCAGCAGAGGAGCCCCCUCAUGGCCACCACCCUUCACGUCCGUCGUAAGCUCGACCUUCCGGGGUCCCGAGCCAGACCGACCCACCCCCCACCACACCCCUAGUCAGCUGACGUCACCGCCCGCUCUCCACCGCAGUCAGUGACGUCACAUCAGAUGCCGGCCGCCCUAGUCACUGAGUCCUCCGGCUCAGCUAACGACAUUCUAGUCUGCCUUUCUGGGCUUUUUAGGGACCCCUCCAGCCCAUCAGCCCACAGCCCUCGCAGGAGCAGCUUCCAAUCGUCUAGUCAGCCCCACCGGGCCCCCACCAACCCCUCGGGACUUGCAGUGUGAGCACACGGGAAUUGAGAAUGAGUAUGCCACCACCAGUACCCAAGUGUGUCUCCCAGUACUCCCAUCCUCGACCCAGUCACCGUUACCUGUCUACCAGUUACCUGUUCUCCCACCCCACUUCACCACACCCCCUCCACAGCACUAGUCACAGUGGGAGGGGAUGUGGGGAGGGGGAGGGGGAGAUGCUGCAUCAGUCACCAAUAGUCGCUUUUAGAUAUUAAGUGAUCUCCUGAAUGUCGAGUCAUCAGCUCAACCAGGAGUCAGCCAGCAAACCUCUAGUCUGCCAUUCUAGAAUUACGAGGACGAGUUUUCCCUCCGACUUCAAGUCAUCUUUCCAAAGAUAUUGCCCCUCCAAAGAUCUUGCCCCUCCAAAGAUCUUGCCCUCCAAAGAUCUUGCCCUCCAAAGAUCUUGCCCUCCAAAGAUCUUGCCCUCCAAAGAUCUUGCCCCUCCAAAGAUCUUGCCCCUUCAAAGAUCCUGCAUCAGUGUGAAAGUCAACAGUAUUAUCUCUCAGUUGUAUAAUAUUUUUACUAACCUCAUUUCAACCAACCAGCCAAUAUUAUCAGGGAUUGUAAUACUCCAUUACUUUGCCUCGCUUAUUACUUUGUGUUUUUGCUCAUUUACGUUUAAUGUUUCAGUAUUGUAUCAGGUUUAGUGUAAUUGUUUGUCCCUUCAGCCAGUAUUAUUUCAGGUUUAGUGUAAUUGUUGCUCUUUUUCACCUAAUAUUAAGCGGUAAUUUAAUUGUAUUUUUUGUCUCUUCAGCCAGUAUUAACAUGUAAUUUAACUGUUUCUAAUAUGUAGAGUAAGUUGUGCUUAAAGUAGGUCCUUGUUUUAGCAGUGUUUCACUUCACUGUUGCAGUUAGCUUCCAGCUUUCCUCGAUCUCUCUCUCCCCUGACGAGCUCAACCAAAGAUGUAGUGUUUAAUGUUUCAGUUGGCAGAAGCUAGCAACCAAAGCCUCUCUACCCCAACCUUGUCAACCAAAGUUAAGUGCGCUAGUACGAUCUAGUUAAGCUUCACUAUCUAGUCUCUAGAGUUUAAGUUGUUUCACUAAUGAUCUCCACUUAUAUUCAUCCCUUAGAUAUUUAAAAGCUCACAUUUGAAGCCUAUAUGUACCUGUCUCGAUCAAAUUGAUCCAUAUAUUUCUCAGUAUUGCCCACAAGACCUCAUGAUCUAUGAUCACCAAAGACUUUGAUUCACACAGUACCUCUAUAUACCUAUUGUUCCCCCCCAGGAUUUAAAUUAAGACCUCAUUAGUAGUAAGCUCAAGAAAACGCUUCGUAGAAUAAUGCUCAAUGUCUCCCUAGAUGUAUUCUCAUAAUUAUUGCAUUUUUUUUUUAUAGAGAUUUUGAAGUCUGGUUCAUACUGCCAGAUUCACCAGUUCUUGCACAGUAUUAGCACCAAAGCUCUCUAUAGUUGUAGUGUUUAAAACACCUGACCUUUACAGCAAUGCACCAAAGAUUUAAUUGAAUAGCAAAAGAUUGUAUACCAAAGAUCACCCGUAUUGUAUUUUGCAGCAUCAAAUGUUGAAGAUAAAAUCUUUACUAAAAUACAGUAGGUCAGUAGCUUUGUUUAAGGUAGUAGUCCUGCAGAGAUCGUAACAGCUUCUCACCAAAGAUCUCACAAAAACAUAACAUUUCUAAUAAAAAAAAAUAAAAAAAAUAAUCAUUUUAGCCGCCAAUUAAAUGUUACUUUAUCAGGUGGUUAACUAGUCCAAUGUUCCAAAGAUCUCCUACGGCACGUCUGAAACAGAGUUAGACGUGUUAUGUAGUGACGUUCUAGUCAAAGUCUGUACCUUUACUGAUGUGUGUGUGUGUCUUGCAACAUGUAUUGUCUAAUAAUAUGUAUAUGCACAAUGUACAUGUAUUAAUGUAUAGUCUUUCUUGCUUGCACUAUCAGCUGUAAGUCUUAACUUAAGUUGCCUUUUUUUUGCAAGCUUCUAAUUGUAAGUGUUAUGUCGUUUCUUGUCGUAUCAAGUACCGUGGCCUCGGCCACCACUCUAGUCAGAGAGUAUGAUACUAUACUUAUAUAAGUCCUUUAUAUAAGUAUUAUGCAUAGCACUUAAUACUGUACAGACAUCUCAUAUGUCUCUAUAUAUAAGUGCUUCAUAUUUUACGUGUAUACUAGUUACCUCACUAGUCAACUACUUUUGUAUCCAAGCUAUUUUUGUAAGAAAUUAUAAUUUAUUUAUAUUUUAUUUAAAUAAAGAAACUUUAAAAG